rnacentral:rRNA from 1 species
UACGGAGGGAGCUAGCGUUGUCCGGAUUUAUUGGGCGUAAAGAGCGUGUAGGCGGCCAGGUAGGUCUGCUGUGAAAACUCGAGGCUUAACCUCGAGAUGUCGGCGGAAACCAUCUGGCUAGAGUCCGGAAGAGGAGAAUGGAAUUCCCGGUGUAGCGGUGAAAUGCGCAGAUAUCGGGAAGAACACCCGUGGCGAAGGCGGUUCUCUGGGACGGUACUGACGCUGAGACGCGAAAGCGUGGGGAGCGAACAGG